CAGGCCUAACACAUGCAAGUCGAGCGGUAGCACAGAGAGCUUGCUCUCGGGUGACGAGCGGCGGACGGGUGAGUAAUGUCUGGGAAACUGCCUGAUGGAGGGGGAUAACUACUGGAAACGGUAGCUAAUACCGCAUAAUGUCGCAAGACCAAAGUGGGGGACCUUCGGGCCUCAUGCCAUCAGAUGUGCCCAGAUGGGAUUAGCUAGUAGGUGGGGUAACGGCUCACCUAGGCGACGAUCCCUAGCUGGUCUGAGAGGAUGACCAGCCACACUGGAACUGAGACACGGUCCAGACUCCUACGGGAGGCAGCAGUGGGGAAUAUUGCACAAUGGGCGCAAGCCUGAUGCAGCCAUGCCGCGUGUGUGAAGAAGGCCUUCGGGUUGUAAAGCACUUUCAGCGGGGAAGAAGGCGGUGAGGUUAAUAACCUUGGCGAUUGACGUUACCCGCAGAAGAAGCACCGGCUAACUCCGUGCCAGCAGCCGCGGUAAUACGGAGGGUGCAAGCGUUAAUCGGAAUUACUGGGCGUAAAGCGCACGCAGGCGGUCUGUCAAGUCGGAUGUGAAAUCCCCGGGCUCAACCUGGGAACUGCAUUCGAAACUGGCAGGCUAGAGUCUUGUAGAGGGGGGUAGAAUUCCAGGUGUAGCGGUGAAAUGCGUAGAGAUCUGGAGGAAUACCGGUGGCGAAGGCGGCCCCCUGGACAAAGACUGACGCUCAGGUGCGAAAGCGUGGGGAGCAAACAGGAUUAGAUACCCUGGUAGUCCACGCCGUAAACGAUGUCGAUUUGGAGGUUGUGCCCUUGAGGCGUGGCUUCCGGAGCUAACGCGUUAAAUCGACCGCCUGGGGAGUACGGCCGCAAGGUUAAAACUCAAAUGAAUUGACGGGGGCCCGCACAAGCGGUGGAGCAUGUGGUUUAAUUCGAUGCAACGCGAAGAACCUUACCUGGUCUUGACAUCCACAGAACUUUCCAGAGAUGGAUUGGUGCCUUCGGGAACUGUGAGACAGGUGCUGCAUGGCUGUCGUCAGCUCGUGUUGUGAAAUGUUGGGUUAAGUCCCGCAACGAGCGCAACCCUUAUCCUUUGUUGCCAGCGGUUAGGCCGGGAACUCAAAGGAGACUGCCAGUGAUAAACUGGAGGAAGGUGGGGAUGACGUCAAGUCAUCAUGGCCCUUACGACCAGGGCUACUCACGUGCUACAAUGGCAUAUACAAAGAGAAGCGACCUCGCGAGAGCAAGCGGACCUCAUAAAGUAUGUCGUAGUCCGGAUUGGAGUCUGCAACUCGACUCCAUGAAGUCGGAAUCGCUAGUAAUCGUAGAUCAGAAUGCUACGGUGAAUACGUUCCCGGGCCUUGUAC
rnacentral:rRNA from 1 species